rnacentral:rRNA from 1 species
GGACCAAGGAGUCUAGCAUGUGCGCGAGUCAUUGGGACUUGCGAAUCCUAAAGGCGAAAUGAAAGUGAAAGUCGAGCUUGCUCGGCCAAGGGAAGACGAGUGACUUCGGUCGCUUUGCACUCCCGGGGCGUCUCGUUCUCAUUGCGAGUUGAGGCGCACCAAGAGCGUACACGCUGGGACCC